GGGAAUAUUGCACAAUGGGGGAAACCCUGAUGCAGCGACGCCGCGUGAGCGAUGAAGUAUUUCGGUAUGUAAAGCUCUAUCAGCAGGGAAGAAAAUGACGGUACCUGACUAAGAAGCCCCGGCUAACUACGUGCCAGCAGCCGCGGUAAUACGUAGGGGGCAAGCGUUAUCCGGAUUUACUGGGUGUAAAGGGAGCGUAGACGGUUAUGCAAGUCUGGAGUGAAAGCCCGGGGCUCAACCCCGGGACUGCUUUGGAAACUGUAAAACUGGAGUGCAGGAGAGGCAGGCGGAAUUCCUAGUGUAGCGGUGAAAUGCGUAGAUAUUAGGAGGAACACCAGUGGCGAAGGCGGCUCUCUGGACUAUAACUGACACUGAGGCACGAAAGCGUGGGGAGCAAACAGG
rnacentral:rRNA from 1 species